rnacentral:rRNA from 1 species
GACGAACGCUGGCGGCGUGCUUAACACAUGCAAGUCGAACGGAAAGGCCCUGCUUUUGUAGGGUGCUCGAGUGGCGAACGGGUGAGUAACACGUGAGUAACCUGCCCUUGACUUUGGGAUAACUUCAGGAAACUGGGGCUAAUACCGGAUAGGAGCUCCUGCUGCAUGGUGGGGGUUGGAAAGUUUCGGCGGUUGGGGAUGGACUCGCGGCUUAUCAGCUUGUUGGUGGGGUAGUGGCUUACCAAGGCUUUGACGGGUAGCCGGCCUGAGAGGGUGACCGGCCACAUUGGGACUGAGAUACGGCCCAGACUCCUACGGGAGGCAGCAGUGGGGAAUAUUGCACAAUGGGCGGAAGCCUGAUGCAGCAACGCCGCGUGCGGGAUGACGGCCUUCGGGCUGUAAACCGCUUUCGCCUGUGACGAAGCGUGAGUGACGGUAAUGGGUAAAGAAGCACCGGCUAACUACGUG